UAUACUUCAUUCUUUCGAUCUAGAUUAUUUUUAUUUAUCUUCAAAACGUACGUUAAAAUCACUGGGAAUAAGACAAAUAUGAGAACGUAGUCUACGCGUAUUGUAAUCGGAACAGAUAAAUCUAAAGAGUGGUUCUCACGUAUCUUUACCCAGUCGACAAAUUUUUUUUUACCCCGUUGAACUACGAUCAACUCCUUUCGCAAUAAAUUCGACUGAUUCACUCCACCAAGCCGUAUGUCCUGGCAGAGUUUUCGAGCUAAAGGAUUAAAAUGGGCGGUUUCACGUGAUGUCCGAGUGACAUUUAUGGCCGACGAGCAAUGUGCCCGCACCGAAGUAUAUAUACCUGACCUAACUUAAUUAACGCAACGACGCGAAGCCGACCGCGGUUUUGCGGCUACAUUCCCGCUUGUGUAUAUGUUGCCGAAGGUGUGCCUUUAUAUAACCGUGUAUAUGGACAGAAAUUAACGGAUACAACUAUGCCAGGGUACCACCUAGUCCGCAAUAUUAUCUGGUCCGCUCUUCGUAAACAUCGGGACUCGCAAUGGCCGACGGUACACAGGACACCGCAACCUGCGCUAAACUUCGCGCUACACAAUUAUUGCUAAGUAGAAAACACGUAGCUGAAUCAUCCAGCGUAAUUGUGAUUAAUAACUACGCUGCGAAGUUGGAAUCGAAUUGUCACGCUAUACUUCGUCGAACUUUUCGUUGCGAAUGAGAAUUUUUCGCUCGUGACUCGACGAAGCAGGGCGUCGAUCGCUUCUUUCUCCCGGAUGGCUGACGAGUCCGGAUCGAGGCAAAGGUGAAUUAUUAUGCAACGAGGAGGAGAUGAAGAAGAAGAAGAAGAGCGCUAGGAGUCCGUGGGGUAGAAAGAGUAUAGAGUUGGCGUUGGUUCAGCGACUGCAGAAGCCGCAAAAUGUGAAAAGCCGGAACAUUACCCGUCCGGCAAAGCACAUAACUGCCUGAUUAAAAGUAACGACCUUUGGUAUAAACAAAAUUUAUGGGCAAUGGGCGUUGGGCGCCCGCGCCCGUCCCGCCGUUACCCCGCGGGUUUGUCGCUAAAAGUAAGCUUUCUUCGGACGUUGUCGAGCAACGCGAGUGUUACAUCUUCUGUUCCUAUACCCAUACACAUCCUGUCCACGCAAUACGUCGGUUAUACGGCCGGUGCGGAAUGUCGCCGCGCGGUAAGCAGCCACCCAACGGCUAAUCUCGCUCACCCCAUCGUCGCUGUACAACUGUCGUUCGACGAGGUGUCAAUGGCAAUUGCUUUUACGAGAUACUUAUUAAUUGUUACGACGGUUUUACGUCACCGUAAAAGUGCAACAGCUACGCGUAACCGUCGACGGGACUCCCUAUCCCACGGCGAUCGCGAGGUUGCGAAGGAAAGAGAGGGCGAGGGCGGACGGAGUGCCGAUGGAUUAUUAUUGUCCCAACGGCUUUGGGUCCGGCGACACCGGCGGGGGAGGAUAGCGGCGUGCCAAAAAAGGCACAGGAUACCGAAACGCGAAGAGGGCUGCAUACCGCCCAGGCGUGGGCGAGGGAAGAAUGCCGUGCGAUAACGAGUCAUUUUUCUCGAGGAGUCGAGAAGGUCACGAUUACCUGGGAUAGGUAGCAGCCAUGCAGUCGGCGGCGGGACGUUCUUUUCCAGCGGGAUACUAUACGUCAGCGGCGGUCGUUCGUCACCGGUUAGAAAAAGGGCGCCGCUUCGCUCGACGCGUCUUAAUCUGGAUGUUCCCAUCCGCCGAACUAACUGAUCUCACCUCGUACAGCGACCAUCUUGACUUUCGUCCUUUGUCUCUCUUUUUUCUCCCCUUUUCAGUUUCUCGGUUCUCUUUUUUUUUUGUUAUUUUUUUCUUUCCUACAUCGGCCGACAACUAGAUCUCAGUCAGUUAUUCUAUCUACUUAUUUCAGAGAAAUCCCACGUUUCGAUCCGGCAGUCGGAGGAAUUAACGCAGCCGGAGACAAAGAUCUUAACGACGACUCCUCCCUUUCGUCGCGAGACUUGUAUAGGUGUUGGCCGAAGGCACUAAAACUACUCGUCAAGGUUGUAUAACGACCGCCAGCUACUCCCGCGAUCGGGACUGUCAGCUAAAUUAGUUUAAUUGUUCGAAUUCCUACCUGCGCGACACGUUCAUUCGAAUUUUCUUCGAAUUUAAAAGGCAAUCUCGAAUUCCCAUGGGCGAUUUUAAAGGCCUGCUAAGUAGCUGUGAUCUUUCGGACAAUAAAUAUCGUGGAUAUAAAAUUAAAAAAAAUAAUUACCCUUCCAUUCAUUCGGUAGACCACAGAAGAACGGUCGAACCAGUCGUUAUUGCAAUCAUUUAAAUACAUAUAUAUAUAUUUUUUGUUCUCGGAAGGAUCGCCAUGUUGAAGAAAAAAAAGGAAAAGAAAAAGAAACUACCUAUGCGAUAUACGCGACGGGGUGACGUAUCCCCGUGCCUAAGUCAUAGCUCGUGUGUGGGGUGUAACCACUUCAUUACCAUCUCGGUGACGAUGGACUAAACAGUCGACGUUUUCGAGCGAGUUGAAACGCGUUACUUACAUAUGUAUAUCUAUUAUAUCCCGUAUCCUAUAAUAUAAUAUAUAACCUGAGAAUUGUUUUAUGCGUUCAACGGAGUGAGCGGGAAAUAUUUCGCGUGACAAAGGAGAUUCGGUGUGUAUAUACCCUACCCUGGAGAUUACCACUAUCUGUUGUUGCUCUCGGCAGAGACCUUCCCACUUCCCAAGAUUUACAAGAUUUACGAAGCCAGUAUAAACACCGAAGAGAUUACGGGAGAGCUUGUUUUAAGUUUUAACGAGAUCCCCUCAGCGCCGCGUCGGCGGCAUUAUCAAAUAAUUGAGAGGUGUAACUCACCGCUAUCUGGGUCCUCGGCCCGGCGCGGGCGCUCCUCUUGACUUAGCUCGGUCGCCUCAAUCCCAUCCCCCCUCGGUUCUCUCCCGAUUUUCUCUACCUUCCGUACAGAAAUCAUGGAGGUACGUCUCCGAACUCCGUUAUACUGGAAAGAAAAAUAGUCAUUCGGUGUCCUCGGUCUCGAGUUUUUAUUUCUUUGUAUUUUUUUUCUCCUAGUGUCCCGCGAGGCCCGGAAUCAUACGAAAAAUCGAUUCGGAGAAAUGGGUGGAAAUCGAGUGAGACGUGUGUACUAGAAAAUGUGCAAGUUAGCGAAAUAGAUUCUCCGAUGUUACGGUCGGGUUCCUCCGAUCGUCCGGUUCGCCGGGACUCCGACGUCUCGACUCCGGGAUUUUUCAAACCCCCUCAGUAACGUCGACUGACUCCGCAGCCGAACGGUCAAAAUAAACAGCUCCGUCGAAAUGGCGGUCGUACGUCUUCGGGAAAGAUUAAACAGUUAAUAAGAAUAAGAGUCUCGGCCG